rnacentral:misc_RNA from 1 species
GGAAGUUAACAAUGAUGAUGAGAGGUUAGUUUUGUGGCUGAUAUAUCCAGACUGUAUUUGCAAGCAUUAGCUGCAUUUGAUUCAUUGUUGAAAUUGGUCAACCUUUUCUUCAAUGGUUUAUAAUGCAUACUACAAUAUAUAUUUGUUUGUAUAUAUUACUACUUUCUCUCGUGUUCUUAUUUCUGUGUAGGGGCGGUCAGGGGCUGGUUCAGGCCGUGAACUGGACCGGGGCAAACCUGGAACCAGCCUGGGUUUAUGGUCCUGGGCCUUGAACCUGCUAUAGGGGGCUGGUUUUAGGAGCCAGAACCAGUGGUUCAAACUGCCGGUCUGGCCUCGUUCAAACCAAUUUUUUAAAAAGAAGAAAAAAUUAUGUGGUCAAUUUCGAGAGCACCGCAUGGAUAAAACCGGGGCAGAAAGGAACCUGAACUGGCUGGAACUCGACCAGUCCAGUCUGGCUCUGGUUCAACCCCUCCCCAGGCACUGAAAUACUGGUUCUGGCCCGGACUGGACCAGUGGUCAGGCCUAGUUUUGUGUUUUUAUUCUGUUUGAUAAGUUCCUAGAACAAGAAGAUCAAUACAAAGUCCAUACCUUACUUCUAUAUUUAGGUUGCAGAAGAACCUUUUGUGUGUGUUUGUGUCUGUGUGUGUGCGCGCGCGCGCG